AUGCGUAUAGAGGAUAUCAAAGCGGACACCAUUGACGUGGCCGUCGAAAGGAUUCUCGUUGAACUUGGGGCAGACACUACAAGAAGCAGAGAGAAUGCCAUCUACUUUGAUGGUUGGGAUGGUCUUGGGGCAUCUGCCGUCCUGCAAGCUGUAGCCGAACGCCUCGCCAUAUCAAAUGAGCCGUCGACGAGGCCCACAGGGCUGGAGUUUGAGAAAAUCAUCCACGUCGACUGCUCAAAGUGGGAGAGCACAAGAGCAAUGCAGAGGGAAAUUGCAGAGCAGCUGAAGCUUCCCAAGUGGGUGAUGGAAAUAUUUGACAAACAAGACGAGGAGGAUGAUUUCAAUGGGUUAGACCAGGGCUCCCGAACUGUGAUAGCACAAGUUGUCAGAGAGAUCUAUCAAGCCACACAAAAUCGCAGAUUCUUGGUGAUUCUGCACAAUGGAAGCAAUGUAGCGAUUGAUGUAUAUAAAUUUGGUCUCUAUAUAUAUGGAUAUGCCAAUAGCAAGAUGCUGUGGACUUUUCAAGGGAGGUUUCGUCUUGACCCUAAGAUGAUAGACAAUGUGAAGAAGAGCACCUCAACUGAUGUUGUUCUUUCAGCUUCAAGAGAUCGACAAGAUCGACAGGAGCUUUGGUCUUACCUACUGCACCAUGAGGCUGCACAAGUUUCCUGCAGCUGCAAUAAGAAUGGCCACGGUAUCAUUGAUCCAGCAAUUGUUGUUGAGUGUGCCUUGUAUGUGCUGAAACAAUGUUGUAUCGGCUCUCCUAUUGUUGACUACGACUGGCCUGCCCACACCAGUAACUAUUGGGUAUGCGACGGGAUCAUUGCGCUGACAGACAUUGACAAAGCAUGGCAAGUUGGCGAUGUUCUGCAGCAUGAGGUGCGUCUGUUGGACAUUGACAACCGGCAUAAUACUGGCGAGUCAACAAUAAUGCCUUCCACUCACUUGUCAAGGUCUACCGAGCAUAUGCAGUACUGGAUUUCCACAUCAACGUGUGGAUUUGAGCUGAGCUCUUCUGGAGUUAUGCCUGACGACAUGUUUCAGCAUUCACACCUGCUCGGCGUGCUCAAGCUCUCGAGGUGUACCUUUAGCUUCUCAUCGCCUCCAUUCCUCUGUUGCCAUAGCCUGAGAUUCCUGUCACUUCUGCACUGCCAAGACCUCCGAACAAGAACAAGCAAUGCACAUCAUUACCACACAGAUUCAGACAAGGAGUUGGACAGCAGCACCACGAUGUUGUGGGAAUGUUUCCAAAGCUUGUGGGUGCUUGAUCUACGCUACACAGAUUGGGACCAGAUCUUGUCAGCACGGAUGAUGGAUCUCAUGACCCGGCUCAGAGAGCUAAUCGUGAUGGGAGCCAAUAACUGGGACAUGAGCCAUUUACGGGGGCGGCUGCGCAACAUUCGCAAGCUCCGUGUAACAAAGUCCACGUGCUGCUUUAACAACGAUGUGUUCUCAGAGAUGGAGAUGUUGGAGCUUCUUGAUUUAUCGGGAAAUACCAUCACACGAUGCAUGACAAGCUUAUCUGGAGCUGCAAGAAACCGCAGCCUUCAGACUGUCAUUAUCUAUGGAAAUUAUGGGUUAGAACUGAUCUCUUUUAGGGGCUGCAAAGAAUUGAAGAACCUGUUGCUGAAAGGAUAUUUCUCGAGCCUUGAGGAGCUGGACAUCUCGGGCACAAGUGUGAAAACCCUUGACCUUGGAGGAGUGGAUGCUACCUCACUCCCCCAGAAUCAUCUUGCUAGGCUGCGAGAAGCUCUGUGCAAUAUUGUGGCCACAACACAAAGAAAGCCAAGAAUGGUCUGGCAUGCUCUGUAUUGA
rnacentral:rRNA from 1 species